UUACGCUUUCAGACCCUUUCUGUAAAGAAAUUCAUAGCUAAGUAAUAAAUAUUCUUGUCAUAGAAGUUUAUCUUCCUAAUAAUUUUCCAAUUAAUCUGCUCUCUAGUCUAAAUUGUUUAAUAUUUGCCCAGCUUGAAGAUAUAUUUGGACCAGAGAAUGGGUAUGCUACCAAAACUCUUGAUAUACCGGUUCCAGACCAGUUGAGUUUCUGUUUAUGGACCUAUGUUGAGUUUAAUCGAUUUAAUCAGCAGAUACCUCUGAUAGAAUUCUACAGGCUUGGAGAAACAAUUCCUCCCUUUAUUGUGCUGAUGUAUAAGUCUGAUACUGGAAGGGUCAAUUGUUAUGAAAUUGGAGAUUGGUGUAUAAGGAACUUCUCAUCAUUGGAACGGAAGUGGAAUCAUCUUUGUGUUUCUAUAGAUAUAGUUGAAAAUACUAUAAUCAUUUUCCUCAAUGGAAAAUCAG